GAGUUAGCUCUCUUAGCCAUGAUAGAGGGCGGCGUACGGCUCAGUAACAUGUGGUCAAUCUACCCUCAGGACGGAGAUAACCUCGGGAAACUGAGGCUAAUAUCCGAUAGAUAAUGGAUCCUGGAAUGGUUCAUUAUUCAAACGGCACAUUGCUCAUGCGCAGUGUGCCGCCUGAGGAUGAGACUGCACCCUAUCAGGUAGUUGGUGGGGUAACGGCCCACCAAGCCUAUAACGGGUACGGGCCCUGAGAGGGGGAGCCCGGAGAUGGGCACUGAGACAAGGGCCCAGGCCCUAUGGGGCGCAGCAGGCGCGAAACCUCUGCAAUAGGCGAAAGCUUGACAGGGUUACUCUGAGUGAUUUCCGUUAAGGAGAUCUUUUGGCACCUCUAAAAAUGGUGCAGAAUAAGGGGUGGGCAAGUCUGGUGUCAGCCGCCGCGGUAAUACCAGCACCCCGAGUGGUCGGGACGUUUAUUGGGCCUAAAGCAUCCGUAGCCGGUUCUACAAGUCUUCCGUUAAAUCCACCUGCUUAACAGAUGGGCUGCGGAAGAUACUAUAGAGCUAGGAGGCGGGAGAGGCAAGCGGUACUCGAUGGGUAGGGGUAAAAUCCGUUGAUCCAUUGAAGACCACCAGUGGCGAAGGCGGCUUGCCAGAACGCGCUCGACGGUGAGGGAUGAAAGCUGGGGGAGCAAACCGGAUUAGAUACCCGGGUAGUCCCAGCUGUAAACGAUGCAGACUCGGUGAUGAGUUGGCUUAUUGCUAACUCAGUGCCGCAGGGAAGCCGUUAAGUUUGCCGCCUGGGGAGUACGGUCGCAAGACUGAAACUAAAGGAAUGGCGGG
rnacentral:rRNA from 1 species